rnacentral:rRNA from 1 species
UAGGGAAUCUUCCGCAAUGGGCGAAAGCCUGACGGAGCAACGCCGCGUGAGUGAUGAAGGUCUUCGGAUCGUAAAACUCUGUUAUUAGGGAAGAACAAAUGUGUAAGUAACUAUGCACGUCUUGACGGUACCUAAUCAGAAAGCCACGGCUAACUACGUGCCAGCAGCCGCGGUAAUACGUAGGUGGCAAGCGUUAUCCGGAAUUAUUGGGCGUAAAGCGCGCGUAGGCGGUUUUUUAAGUCUGAUGUGAAAGCCCACGGCUCAACCGUGGAGGGUCAUUGGAAACUGGAAAACUUGAGGGCAGAAGAGGAAAGUGGAAUUCCAUGUGUAGCGGUGAAAUGCGGAGAGAUAUGGAGGAACACCAGUGGCGAAGGCGACUUUCUGGUCUAUAACUGACGCUGAUGUGCGAAAGCGUGGGGAUCAAACAGG